GCGGAUGUAAUCCAAUGGUAAGAUACAAGCUUCCCAAGCUUGAAUUGUGGGUUCGAUUCCCAUCAUCCGCU
rnacentral:tRNA from 1 species